ACGAGUUGUCGAGCUGUCAUGAAGCAGAUCGAAGAUGAUGUUGGUUGAAUGUUUUGUAUCUGUUUUAGAAGUGUGAAAGCCGAGGAUACUGUUUAAGGAGAUGUUUGUCUGGCUACGAAAUAAUUUGAGAUGUUGAAAACAGGAAUUCACGUGGAGCUCGCUUUUGGAGAUUAUUCUUUUGUCAAGGUCAGUAUUUGUUUGUAUUUGACCCUCGUGCAAUGUUAUAUUGGGUAAUAAUUCGCUUUUAUUGUUGUGAAAAUGUUAAAUUUUGCUCCUAAUAUUGUUUUUGGUGCUAGGCUGGCUAUGUUGAAAUGCGCGUUGAAGAAAAACAUGGCCGUUUCCGAAAUAACUUGGUAUAGCGCGAUAGUGUUUUGCCGAUGAAACUUGAAGACUAGCUGCUGGUUGUUUCUGUCUUUUUAGGCCUUACAUUUUUGAAGUAAAAUUAUUGUCCUACAAACUGUAUUGUGGAAAUCUUCACCGUAGGACAAUUCCGCAUGAGUUGUGGGAAAAUUCAGAUUUUUGGAAAGAGGUUGCACAUGAAAUUAUACCUUGUUCUACAUUGUGGACGAGUUAAGGUACACAGACUGGGCUUAGGACUGUCCAUGGCAGAGUUCAAGAAGAGAGGUUCAUUGCCAAGAUCAUUUUAGUUUUCAUAUUGAAAGAGCUGGGUAUUAAUCAAGUCCAUUGUGGUGAAAGGAUUAGAGUGAGUUCUAGUGACAUCUAAGUUCCUGUCAGUUACAUGAAUGAUCACUUCAUAAUGAGUGGUCUUGUUUUGUUUGUGCUUUGAUGUUUAGAGUUUUCAUUUGUCUUGAAAUCUGAACUCUUUGGUGUUUGAAUGAUUUUAUCAUUAAGAUUCCUUUCAUCCUGUUGCUUAGAAUACAUUGGAACCCCUUCUGACCUUGAUGAGUAACACUUCACAACAAAGAGUGCCUUUGUAUUCUCCAUGUAACAUGUAGAGAACUAGGUCAAUAAAAAGCUGACUGUUUUGUUGUUACUUUUACAACUGGAACAGCACAUUAUAUUUCUUUA